rnacentral:rRNA from 1 species
AGUGAACGCUGGCGGUAGGCCUAACACAUGCAAGUCGAACGGCAGCACAGGAGAGCUUGCUCUCUGGGUGGCGAGUGGCGGACGGGUGAGGAAUACAUCGGAAUCUACUCUGUCGUGGGGGAUAACGUAGGGAGACUUACGCUAAUACCGCAUACGACCUACGGGUGAAAGCAGGGGACCUUCGGGCCUUGCGCGAUUGAAUGAGCCGAUGUCGGAUUAGCUAGUUGGCGGGGUAACGGCCCACCAAGGAGACGAUCCGUAGCUGGUCUGAGAGGAAGAACAGCCACACUGGAGCUGGGAGACGGUCCAGACCCCUACGGGGGGAAGCAGUCGAGAAUAUUGGACAAUGGGCGAAAGCCGGAUCCAGCACUACCGCGUGGGUGAAGAAGGCCUUCGGCUUGUAAAGUCCUUUUGUUGGGAAAGAAAUCCAGCUGGCUAAUACCCGGUUGGGAUGACGGUACCCAAAGAAUAAGCACCGGCUAACUUCGUGCCAGCCGCCGCGGUAA